rnacentral:lncRNA from 1 species
AAAAAUCAUGCAUUUUGAAAAAAAGUUUCUUUGAUUUUUUAGAAAAGAGCACGCAUUUAACCAAAAGAACAAAAGAAAAAAGGCGAACAAAACCAUUACAGAAAAUGGUUUGGGAAGCUUCCAAUACCGAGGACUUUGCAAGUUGGAGAAAGAAUAAAUAAAGGCAAAUGAAGUGUGUACGUACGGGUUGUUCGAUGGCAUAGUGGUUGAUGCAGUACUAUGGUGAAGUGCGAGUUACACUUCAGCUAUUCUAAAUGUGAAUAGAUUCCGAUCAAGCAAGCAGGAGAAGGUGGUCCUUUCAUCCAUGCUCUAUAGCCUAAGGAUCAUGAGCAGGUUUAAUGCUAGAAAAAACGAGAUCUGCCUAAUCAUUUUCGGCUCCCCGCACGCACCUUUUUGCUGUUUCUAACAAAAAGAAAAAAACAAAUGGAUUGGCCCGCUACGAGCCUCUACGAGCGCCAACUUCUCUAAUCAGCGCUAACAGUACUGACUAGGAGCUCCCAACGGUCGACAUGCUUCCGCAGAGAGUGGUACAUAGGAGCUUGCGGAUCAACCCAUGUUAUGUAGCUCUUUGUCCAGGAUUGGAAGAAUAUCCGACAAUCGAAAAUGCCCAGUACUCUGGGUCCGACGAUCAAAAUUGCUAGUAGUCCGAGAGGGC